rnacentral:lncRNA from 1 species
UUGUUUCAAAGGAACACAUUAUUUUGGACAUGCAAUCAGAUGAAACAUUAAAGGAGAGAAGCCUGAAGAACAAAGCAGCCACAGAUCAACAGGAGUAUAGUUUAUUAGAGGUUGGUUAGAGACUUUUUGCUAAUGAGCUGUACUGUCCAUAGGCAUCAUCAUGGGGUUCUCAAAUCUAAUGAUACCCAUGCCAUCAAUUCUGAGUAAAGUGGUUACAAAAGAAACUGAUAUUUAAUUUUUACUAUAAUAGAAAAUGGCAUGUAUAUGUGUCUUAAUUCAUUCAGUAGAUGCAACAUAGGGUAGUGGAAUGAUCACUUUCCUGUAUAAUUAAUUGUAAGAGCUAGAGUUCAUAUAAUCACUAAUUAUUAAAAUAAAA